UACGUAGGGUGCGAGCGUUAAUCGGAAUUACUGGGCGUAAAGCGUGCGCAGGCGGUUCGUUGUGUCGGCGGUGAAAGCCCCGGGCCUAACCUGGGAAUGGCCGUUGAAACUGGCGAACUGGAGUGUGGCAGAGGGGGGUGGAAUUCCGCGUGUAGCAGUGAAAUGCGUAGAGAUGCGGAGGAACACCGAUGGCGAAGGCAGCCCCCUGGGCUGACACUGACGCUCAGGCACGAAAGCGUGGGGAGCAAACAGG
rnacentral:rRNA from 1 species